rnacentral:rRNA from 1 species
GACGAACGCUGGCGGCGUGCUUAACACAUGCAAGUCGAACGGUGAAGGGAUCAGCUUGCUGGUUCUGGAUGAGUGGCGAACGGGUGAGUAACACGUGAGUAACCUGCCCCCUUCUUCUGGAUAACCGCAUGAAAGUGUGGCUAAUACGGGAUAUUCUGCGCCUGCUGCAUGGUGGGUGUGGGAAAGAUAUUGUUUCGGUGGGGGAUGGGCUCGCGGCCUAUCAGCUUGUUGGUGGGGUGAUGGCCUACCAAGGCGGUGACGGGUAGCCGGCCUGAGAGGGUGGACGGUCACACUGGGACUGAGACACGGCCCAGACUCCUACGGGAGGCAGCAGUGGGGAAUAUUGCACAAUGGGCGCAAGCCUGAUGCAGCGACGCCGCGUGAGGGAUGGAGGCCUUCGGGUGGUGAACCUCUUUCGCCAGUGAAGCAGGCCUGUCCCUGGUGGGUGGGUGACGGUAGCUGGAUAAGAAGCGCCGGCUAACUACGUG